rnacentral:rRNA from 1 species
UACGAAGGGGGCUAGCGUUGCUCGGAAUUACUGGGCGUAAAGGGCGCGUAGGCGGAUGUCUAAGUUGGGGGUGAAAUCCCGGGGCUCAACUCCGAGCUUGCAGUCGAUACGGGCAGGCUAGAGUUCGGCAGGGGAGACUGGAAUUCCUGGUGUAGCGGUGAAAUGCGCAGAUAUCAGGAGGAACACCGGUGGCGAAGGCGGGUCUCUGGGCCGAUACUGACGCUGAGGAGCGAAAGCGUGGGGAGCGAACAGG